UACGGAGGUCUCAAGCGUUGUUCGGAUUCAUUAGGCGUAAAGGGUGCGUAGGCGGCGAGGUAAGUCAGAUGUGAAAUCCCGGAGCUUAACUCCGGAACUGCAUUUGAUACUGCUUUGCUUGAGGACUGGAGAGGAGAUCGGAAUUCCUGGUGUAGCGGUGAAAUGCGCAGAUAUCAGGAGGAACACCGGUGGCGAAGGCGGGUCUCUGGGCCGAUACUGACGCUGAGGAGCGAAAGCGUGGGGAGCGAACAGG
rnacentral:rRNA from 1 species